rnacentral:rRNA from 1 species
AGAGUUUGAUCAUGGCUCAGAACGAACGUUAGCGGCGCGCCUAACACAUGCAAGUCGUGCGAGAAAGGGCUUCGGCCCCAGUAAAGCGGCGCACGGGUGAGUAACACGUAGGUCAUCUCCCCUCGAGUGGUGGAUAACUCUCCGAAAGGAGAGCUAAUACAGCAUGAGACCACAGCCUCGCUGAGGCAGCGGUCAAAGCAGGCCACUACAUGUAAGCUUGCGCUUGAGGAUGAGCCUGCGGCCCAUCAGCUAGUUGGUAGGGUAAUGGCCUACCAAGGCUAAGACGGGUAGCUGGUCUGAGAGGAUGAACAGCCACACUGGAACUGAGACACGGUCCAGACUCCUACGGGAGGCAGCAGUGGGGAAUCUUGCGCAAUGGGCGAAAGCCUGACGCAGCGACGCCGCGUGAGCGAUGAAGGCCUUCGGGUUGUAAAGCUCUGUGGGGAGGGAAGAAUAAGGUUUGGCUAAUAUCCAAGCUGAUGACGGUACCUCCUUAGCAAGCACCGGCUAACUCUGUGCCAGCAGCCGCGGUAAGACAGAGGGUGCAAACGUUGUUCGGAAUUACUGGGCGUAAAGCGCGUGUAGGCGGCUAUGUAAGUCGGGCGUGAAAUCCCACGGCUCAACCGUGGAAGUGCACUCGAAACUGCGUAGCUAGAGUCCUGGAGAGGAAGGUGGAAUGCUUGGUGUAGAGGUGAAAUUCGUAGAUAUUAAGCGGAACACCGGUGGCGAAGGCGGCCUUCUGGACAGUGACUGGCGCUGAGACGCGAAAGCGUGGGGAGCAAACAGGAUUAGAUACCCUAGUAGUCC